rnacentral:tRNA from 1 species
AGGGGUAGAGCUCAGUGGUAGAGCAUGUGCUUGAGGUGCUGGGUUCAAUCCCCAGUACCUCCA